UACGUAGGCAGCGAGCGUUGUUCGGAGUUACUGGGCGUAAAGGGUGUGUAGGCGGUUCUUUAAGUUUAGUGUGAAAUCUCCCGGCUCAACCGGGAGGGUGCGCUGAAUACUGAGGGACUAGAGUACGGGAGAGGGUCGCGGAAUUCCAGGUGUAGCGGUGAAAUGCGUAGAUAUUGGGAGGAACACCAGUGGCGAAGGCGGCUCACUGGACCGGUACUGACGCUGAGACGCGAAAGCGUGGGGAGCAAACAGGG
rnacentral:rRNA from 1 species